rnacentral:tRNA from 1 species
GCGGGUGUAGCUCAGUGGUAGAGCUCCAGCUUCCCAAGCUGAUUAUGAGGGUUCGAUUCCCUUCACCCGCUCCA